GACGAACGCUGGCGGCGUGCUUAACACAUGCAAGUCGAACGGAAAGGCCCUGCUUUUGUGGGGUGCUCGAGUGGCGAACGGGUGAGUAACACGUGAGUAACCUGCCCUUGACUUUGGGAUAACUUCAGGAAACUGGGGCUAAUACCGGAUAGGAGCUCCUGCUGCAUGGUGGGGGUUGGAAAGUUUCGGCGGUGGGGGAUGGACUCGCGGCUUAUCAGCUUGUUGGUGGGGUAGUGGCUUACCAAGGCUUUGACGGGUAGCCGGCCUGAGAGGGUGACCGGCCACAUUGGGACUGCGAUACGGCCCAGACUCCUACGGGAGGCAGCAGUGGGGAAUAUUGCACAAUGGGCGGAAGCCUGAUGCAGCAACGCCGCGUGCGGGAUGACGGCCUUCGCGUUGUAAACCGCUUUCGCCUGUGACGAAGCGUGAGUGACGGUAAUGGGUAAAGAAGCACCGGCUAACUACGUG
rnacentral:rRNA from 1 species